GAUGGCCAGCAGUGUGGUCAAGAUGUAGCGGAGUGUCCUGUUUUUCUCCAACUGGUCCAUCCCUUCCUUUAGGUCCUGAAGAGGCUCUGCCACCUCCUAAAACACUGCAGGCGAGCAGACAGCUCUGUGAUGGAGGAGAGGGUGAGAAGGAACUGUUCAGCACUGCCCAGGGGAAUAUCAGGGUUGACCAGCUGAGCCUCCUGGAUCCUCUGCUUCUCCUCCUCUGUGGGGAUCAUUGUCAGGAUUUUCUGGGAGAAGAAGGAAGGAAUGAAAGGAGGGGAAGGGAAAGGAGCAGGAUUACAGGAUCAUUCAUCAAAGGCGCUCCUCUCUCUCCAGGCGUCUCCGCUCCCUCUCCGCAGCCAGUGACUCUUGAUGCUGCCUGUACGAUGAAGUUAACAAUCCACCCAAAGCAGGUAUUUGUCCAGAAGAAACUUUAUAGAUGGAGUGAGUUGUACUUUAUCAACCAUGUCCAGACUACGUUGUGCAUUAGCUGUGAAAAAGCUGACAUGCCAACCUGUCAGGUUUGGACUCUGGUGUGGAGGAUGCCGAGCUAGAGAAGCGAUGGAUGGGUGAUGUAGGAGCCUGGUGCCUGCCAGGACAGAGAGGAGGGGCUGGACAGUGCCUCAAGAAUCUGUGAUGUGAUGCGAUGUGAAUUCCAAUGUCAUACUGCUGGACAGUUUACAUCUUAAGCACUUCUCCUGAGGCAUUUGAACAGCUUGAAGGAGCCAUGCCAUAAAACUGAAGGGAGCCUGCAGGUGCACUGCUCGUCUAUGUGUCUGCAUAAGGGCAAUCAUUCAUAAAUUUAUCUUUUCACCAGACCAAAUCUUGUCUGUGGGGCCUUGUCAUUGCUGUGUUGAAUCCAAUAGCAUAUUGUGCACAUUUUGUCCUUGAAUAGUUUCCAAUAACACUGUAAAUUAAAAAUAAGUUCACAAAGAUGACAGAAAAACAACUUUAGGAUGACUGCAGUAUGUGCACAUCUUCCUGAAACAAAACAUAAUAUGUACAUCAUCAUGUCCCCUGCACGCUCUUGUUACACUUGACCUUUUGACUCCUGGCCUUACCUCUCAGCCCAGCAGGGCUUUCUAGCUGUGUAAGAUGUAGGAGAGGUGUUGUCUGUAUCUGUCAGACUGAAGAUGGAAGUGAGAGAGAAAUGAAAAAGAGAGAGUAACAGUCAGAUCAGACACUCCAAAGAUUAAAAUAAUUAAAUGUUAGUUACACAGACAAGGUAGUGAGACAGCAGUUGAAGGUAGGAGGGCUGCAAGACCACACAACAACAAAGCCGACAGGUGCAGGGCGGGGAUGAUCUCUGUCAGUCUGUCUUACCGAUUCAGUGUGCUGUUUAGAAAGCAACAAAUCUAGUGUCCUUAAUCCUAAUUAAUAAAGCCACUUUAGAAGCUUUCACUGGAUUAUCUUUUAUUUUCCACUCCAUAAAAAACAAGGAAUUAUUUCUAGGGAUGCAUGCUGAGGAGCUGCUCUGCCAGUCCACAGUUGGUCGCCUAUCCUUUUUAUUAUUGCUACAGAAUCUCUGCAAGAAACACGAACAGCUAAAAGACGGUGACUGUGACUCAUGCUAAUACUUUGAAUUCCUUAAUGCUUUGAAUGAAUUUAUUGACUUGUCUCGGAUUAACUGUGGUGCAAAGCCACAAUGAAAGACAGAUGAGUAGUAAAUGUCUGUAAAAAUAAUGCUUUCCAGCAACUGAGAAAAGGAAGUAAUUAUGACCUUCCUUCUUCUGGUACAAUACGUCUUUGGAGAUGACAGAUGAAACAUAAAUCACGUCUGAUGGGAAAUAAAGGAGUUUCUGGCCACUGUGGUCAAGACAACAUUUCUAAAGGAUGAAGGAGGUAGAGAGGAACAAAGCUAAAGCAUGUCCAAAACAAAUAACCCUAUGAGGUGCAAUUUAGAAGAAUGUUUUAAAAGAAAAAGUGUAAACCUUUAGCAUUACUAUAUCUGCUUUUACUCCUGAUGCUUGCAUGUGUCUCCGCUGAACGUACAGUGGUCUACAUAGAGACACAGACACCAGUGAUGGGGAGAGGACAGUGUGCUUCCACAUUGCGGAGUGUGAUGGUCUGGAUGUAACACAAGAUGGACUGUACAGCAGCUCCCGCCCACUACCUGUAGCGCCUCUCUCUGUGCUUGCCCUGCUCACUCUCUGCAACACCUGGCCCUGGCUCUGAUUCAAGUGCAUGGAUGGAGAAAGAGGUUGGGGGGGGGGCAGGGAAAGGGAGGGGGAAGGGGGAGGGGUGAGGCUGGUGUAGACUGACACUGAGGGUGUGCGGAGCCUUGGCAUUCUACUCAAGAGCAACAGGGAAGACACAGUCAGGUGCGCUGGAGAGUUGGGGGAGAACACACCAAGGACUAAAGGUCCUCUUUUUAGGUGCGAUGGACACAGGAGAAGAUGUCCUGGUCUUGACGCUGAGAUAUUCUCUCUGCCCUUCAGGGUCACUGGCUUUAGGGAGGAUGUUGGCCAUACACUUUAAGUUCAAACACAUGUUAGGAGUGUCUGCUACAGCUGGAGCCACACUAGGACAACAAAAUACAAAAGAGAGUAGGAGUCCAAAUGGGAAAGAGGGAAAGAAUCAUACUUUUGAACUAUGUCAGAGAAAACUAUGCAAACGUGAAGGGGAAGGAGAGAUCGAGUCGCUCUUGGGGAA